rnacentral:misc_RNA from 1 species
AUUACUAGUCUAUACCAGUUCUCCGUGACCAUCCAAGAUGCAUCGCGGUCAGGUGUCUGAGAUACCGUAUUUACCACCUUAGCAGCAAGUCAUCGAUCUUGCCUCGUGUGAUUGUUGGAGACAAGGUAGAGCUCGCUCUAAUUGGCUACUAGAUGAAAUGUCUCACAGCUGUCCAUUUGCAGGAUCAUGAGACAAGGGUUGCUCAAUGCUGCACGCUG